ensembl:lncRNA
AGUGCUGUGCACAUACUGAGUGACCGACAGGCUUGUAAAGAAGUCUGGAUUCCUAUCACAGUUCGCAAUCCCAUGACCCAUCCCAUGUGCAAGACAAGCACAGCUAUGCUGCCUACUUCUUAUGGACCUGCUUAUGUGGCAAUUAUUUAUGGUAUCAUAUGCUGGGACCUCGAGCAGUGGCCCUGCUCAUGGAAGGUUGAGAUGUCUGCUGUGCAACCAGCAGUGGUUCAGGAGAACACAGUUUUAUUGCAAAGUGACUGACCUGCAGGCAGCCCUCUCCCCUGGCUGUAGGAGUUUCAGUUCUGCCCAGCCCCAGCUCGAGCUCCUGAUGGGUCAUGGCCUGGACUCCCCUGUUCCUGAGAAGAUGCAGCCCAGCACAGGACUCAGGGGCUGCCCAGCCAGGCUGGGUCCAGUCCAGACCCACCAGCUGCUGCUGCUUGAACCAUGGUGCUCCUCACACCUGCAGGGAGGCUGUGUUCCUCACCCCAGCUUGAGAGCGCACAAUGAGAGGCAGCAGCAAAGAGAAUGAGGAAAGAGGCUGUGCUGUCUUCUUCUCCAGAGUUACUAAAACCUGCCUGGAUGCAAUCCUGCUUCAGGUGCUUGAGCAGGGACUGUAACCAGAUGAUCUCCAGAAUUCUAUUUCAACUCCAGCCAUUCUGUGAUUCUGUGAUACUCUGAGUUAUGACUCCUCUAGAAAUGCCUAUUAUGAGCACAGAAAAACAUUUUGUAUGCACUUUGGGUUUGGUUCCUUCUUCCUUUUUUUUUUUUUUUUCAGUAAGUUGAAAAACUAGAAUGGCAUACAUAAAUUGAACCUUUGUAAAGACUGCGUAAAAACAAGAUAGAGAAAGAAUAUCUAGCAAUGCAAGAAUGCUGGGGGUUUAUAAAAAAUCAGGUUACAACUUGUCCUAGGUCUCAAACACAAAGAACUAUUUUUUAUCAAAGUCAUUUAAAUUUGCCAAGCAAAGUAAAUUUAUGAAUCCGUGAAAAUUGUGUUGCCAAAAUCACACCAAUCAACAUGAGAUCAUCCAGUGCUGACCUCUCUAAUGUGGUAGUGUAACUACAAAGGAUUGCUCCAACUGCAAGAGUCAGUAGAAUGAAUAUAUAUAUAUGUAGAAUGAAUAUAAUUUGUAUAUAUAUAUAUAUAAAACAUACACAAAAGAGAAUCCUCCAUAUAUAUGUAGAAUGAAUAUAAUUUGUAUAUAUAUAUAUAUAAAACAUACACAAAAGAGAAUCCUCCAGCUCAGGAGACACAAUGGGAACAAUAACACCAGUACAGCAAAAUUUGGAGUUAGUCCUAGUCAAUUAAUUGAUGCAUGCAUUUGCAAACUAUAUUCACCAGUUAUAUAUCUUGCACCAUGUUUAAUAAUCCUUAAUCUGUUGAUAAACUUUAGUUUUGUCUUUCUUUGUCUAUAUGCAUGUGGUAUUUUCUAAUAUAUACUGUGUGAAAAUGAUAGAAAACACAGCCAAACUUCAUUAAUAUGGAAAAAUGAUGCUAAAACAUUCUUAGUAGUUAGCUUGCAAAUAUACUAAAUAAAAAUUUAUAGAUGUUGUAAAGCUAAUAUGAC